rnacentral:lncRNA from 1 species
AAAUUCGGGAACGAAAUCACACUAUGACUCGAUAUGUUUCAGUUUGCAGAAAAGAAUGCAGAAUUUUUAAUGCACGAAUAUUUUUUUUUUUUCCAGUACUCGAAAAUGAGGCAUUGCCUCAGUUUAUAUAGCCUCGAAUUGUGACUGUUCGGGAAAGGCCAUGCCUUUUUCUGAAAAAUAAGAACGUUGGGAAGUUUACAGUUAACAAAUUAAUAUUUUUCCCGCGGGAAUUAAAAAUAAUUUCAGAAAAUGAAGAUUGAAUUUUAAAGAAAUUUGGUCCAAAAAGAUUAUCAAUCAAUCAGAUCAUUUGACCAAAUCCAAAUCCAAAUCCAAAUCCGAAUCCGAAUCCGAAUGAAGAUUGAAUUUUAAAGAAAUUUGGUCCAAAAAGAUUAUCAAUCAAUCCGAAGCCGAGCCGAGCGACGACGGCGCGAGGGGAGUCCCUCUUCUUAACCCUUUAAGAGCUAGAAGAAGUGCUUUCUAAUAUAAGCACAUAACUUUCCCUUUCUACCACCAAUGU